rnacentral:tRNA from 1 species
GUUCCUGUAGUUGAAUUACAACGGUGGUUUUUCAAGUCAUUGGUCUCGGUUAGAGUCCGGGUGGGAAUU